AAAGACAUACAUUUUCUACAAACUUCCACUGACAUUAUGGGUGUUGUGUGACACAAAAUCUCAAUUUAAUCCAUUUUAAAGUCAGGUUGUAACACAUGGAAAAGUAAGGGGGUGUGAAUACUUUCUGAAGGCAAGAAAACCUCUACUUUCAGUUGUACAUUUGACUUGUUUUAUUUCAACUUUAAGUGGGUAGGGUAUACAGGGGAAGUACUGUAUAGUCAAGAUCUAGUGUAUUUGUGAAUUGCACGCCAAUGUACUUUUGAGUUACUGUAAAUACCUAUUUGAGAAAAAUUCAUGAUCAUAUGAUAAAAUCAAUUAACAUGCAAAAGAAACAAAAACUCUGAACUAACGUUUAAUACUAAUCACAGCCAAAUCCUGAAACGGCUCAACAUAAUAUACCUUACUAUAAGGACGGAGAACAAAAACAUGCUAUUUUUUUGUAUAUCAUUUUGCACAUGGGAACAAGAACCAGUUGAGUGUAAUAACAUUCCAUUGUUCACUCAUCGAAUAACAGGAAAUGUAGUCGGCAAGAGUGGAGGAAGAGAGAAAGGUACCAGCAAUACAACUCCGUCGGAAGAAGGUCCUGAAGGAGGAAACCGAGGCAAAGGAGGAUGGUGCUGCUACACAGCAUUCCAGUACCAGCAAUACAACUCCGUCGGCAGAAGGUCCUGAAGGAGGAAACCGAGGCAAAGGAGGAUGGUGCUGCUACACAGCAUUCCAGGUGUAGCACUUCUCUCAUCCUUUAAAAACAAGAAAUGGACAGUGACGCGGCCCUGGCAACAACACCAAAAAGAAAACAACACAUCGAGAAGUGCAAAAUCGAGGAUGUAUGAUCGGCAGCCUAGUCUGUGCAAGUCCGAUCUGUGAUGGAUUUGUUAUUAUAAAUGUACAGUACCAUUCAAAAGUUGGGGUCACUUAGAAAUGUCCUUGUCUUUGAAAGAAACACAUUUUUAUCCAUUAAAAUAACAUAAAAU